AGAGUUUGAUCCUGGCUCAGGACGAACGCUGGCGGCGUGCUUAACACAUGCAAGUCGAACGAGGUGCUUGCACCUAGUGGCGAACGGGUGAGUAACACGUGAGCAACCUGCCCCUGGCUCUGGGAUAGCCUCCGGAAACGGGGAUUAAUACCGGACAUUCACUUCUGCUGGCAUCGGCAGGGGUGGAAAGUUUUUCGGCC
rnacentral:rRNA from 1 species